GAGUUUGAUCAUGGCUCAGGAUGAACGCUAGCGGGAGGCUUAACACAUGCAAGUCGAGGGGUAACAUGAGGUAGCAAUACUUUGAUGACGACCGGCGCACGGGUGAGUAACACGUAUGCAACCUACCCUGUACAGGGGGAUAGCCCGGAGAAAUUCGGAUUAAUACCCCAUAAAGAUAUUUAGAGGCAUCUUUAAAUAUUUAAAGCUUCGGCGGUACGGGAUGGGCAUGCGCAACAUUAGCUAGUUGGUAGGGUAACGGCCUACCAAGGCUACGAUGUUUAGGGGACCUGAGAGGGUGAUCCCCCACACUGGUACUGAGACACGGACCAGACUCCUACGGGAGGCAGCAGUGAGGAAUAUUGGUCAAUGGGCGUAAGCCUGAACCAGCCAUCCCGCGUGAAGGAAGAAGGCGCUAUGCGUUGUAAACUUCUUUUCCAGGGGAAGAAAACCCGCUACGUGUAGCGGCUUGCCGGUACCCUGGGAAUAAGCAUCGGCUAACUCCGUGCCAGCAGCCGCGGUAAUACGGAGGAUGCGAGCGUUAUCCGGAUUUAUUGGGUUUAAAGGGUGCGUAGGCGGAUUAAUAAGUCAGUGGUGAAAACCUGCAGCUUAACUGUAGAAUUGCCAUUGAUACUGUUAGUCUUGAGUACGGUCAA
rnacentral:rRNA from 1 species